rnacentral:rRNA from 1 species
AUGGCGAGAUGUUGAAAGACGGUUUACGGCUGUCACUAUAAGAUGGGCCCGCGGCGCAUUAGCUAGUUGGUAGGGUAAUGGCCUACCAAGGCGACGAUGCGUAGCCGACCUGAGAGGGUGAUCGGCACACUGGGACUGAGACACGGCCCAGACUCCUACGGGAGGCAGCAGUAGGGAAUCUUCCACAAUGGACGAAAGUCUGAUGGAGCAACGCCGCGCGAGUGAAGAAGGUUUUUCGGAUCGUAAAACUCUGUUGUAAGGGAAGAACACGUACGAGAGUAACUGCUCGUACCUUGACGGUACCUUAUUAGAAAGCCACGGCUAACUACGUG